rnacentral:lncRNA from 1 species
GACAUUUUAACAUGGUAGAUUAAAACAGCAACUUGAAUAGCUACCAGAUCCCAUCAUAGUUUUGUCAUUCAUUGUAUAUUUGAAACAAUUUACCGUCAGAACAAAAAUGUACCAUCUUAAUAAACAUUGUCUGACAAAUAACAAGUGAUGGUGAACAUUGCUUAAAUGUGCAAGGUAGCAAAACAGAAUAACAGAUCCUUAAAUGUCUACAGUUAUCUCCGCAUCAAGUUUAGAGAACUCCUCAAAAUAUGCCUUCAAAUGCUCAUACGAAUGUUGCACGUCAUCAACUCCACACAUUUCUCUAAUACUGUGCAUUGAAAGUUGUGGUGCCCCGACAUCAACAGUGCGGAUCCCCACCCCACUUGCAAGUAUGGAACCAAUUGUCGAACCACAUCCCACGUCAUUCCGCACAACAUAAUCCUGCAAAAAUUUGAUAACAGACGAAUCAACACUUCCAAUAGUAUUAGUAUUGUACAUUCUUGGUUAUUAAAAUUUUGGCAAUUUGGAUUGAUAUUCAGGGAAAGAUAUUACCUCUCUGUUUUGCCGAGACUUUCAAAUGGAUUGAAAUAGUUAAUUAUUUACAUUUUAGAAUCGUGAGGCCUAAAUCCUAUUGAAUGAGCUGGAUCAUUCAGAACCGCAUUAGGUAUCCGAAUCAGGAAAUAGAGUUUGGUGAAGAUUAAGGACUACUUGGUUGGUAUGUCUGAUAACAGUUGGUCAGUUCAAUAACGAAAAUGUUCUGUUAGAUGUUUUCUCUCUAAAGUGGCCUAAGGAUUAAAUUUUAUUACACUGUGGGUGGCUGAUGAACGGAUGCAUAAGAAUUGACUAGAAUGUUCAUUUUAAAGUUUGGUUUGGUCGCAAUCCUUGAGAUCCUUUAUCCAUCAAAGAGCUAGCCAAGCAAAUUUUAUAAACUUUAACGAAUGCAAAAACUACAGAAGGUGACUAACAGUUUAGAAACUUAACCCUUGGCUUAAGAAAGACAAUUAAAACCUGGUUAAACUUUAUUCCCAGCUAAACAUUAGUAUGCUUCUGAAUGAGCUCAUACCUGAAUAGGCAGGUUGCGCCUCUCUGCAAUCUCUCGAAAUAUAAAUGAAGUGACAGAGUUUGUGGCGUAACGUUGAUUAGCAUUGUGUUUGAUGACAAAACCUCCGUGCAACUUCGGUUGAUGAUUUUCUUCGUGUUUGUCCUAAUGAGAAAGUCCACUGUAAAUGGAAAUCUGAAGUACCCAAACGAAAGACAUUUGACAUCAAGAAUAUGAGAUCUGGCAUACCAUAUAAUUUGGAUGCAAGGCAUGAACCAUAUCAGCUGAAACAAGAAAACUCCUUUGCACUGCUUUCUGAAGCAACUGAAUGCAUCAAUGAAGAAAAGAAAAAUUAUUUAUCAAGGAAUGAAAACAAAGAACAACCAAGGGAAAGCAAGUGUGAAAACAGGUGUUAAAAAUAAAAAAACUGGCAAAUUAGAUGUAUAAUCAAAACUACAUUGUAGCAGUAACUUAGAAAAUGUGUUGCUCUACCUUGGAAUCUGAUGAGCUAAACGAAUUUGUGAUUCUUGAUAGUGCAUCUACCAUGGCAGGAGACCCAGCUCCUUGUGCAGAACUGGAUCCCACCUCCUCGUGAUCAAACAAUGCUACCAUCCUUACGCUGGUUUCAUCGUCAAGGCUACUUUCAGAAGACAGUGAUUCUAUCAAAGCCUGGAAGAUAAGGCACAAGAACAUUUGUAUUAGAACUGGUAGCAUUAUAUAUCGGUUCUCUUCGUCAGACUAAUCUCUUCAAUACAUGGGUAUAUUUUGCGCAAAAACCAACCAUAUAUCACUGAGAAAGGAAACAAACACACACACACAUACACCACAAAUAUAUCUGACCUUUAAAGAGCAAAAGGACAUGCAGAGAUUAUCAAGCCUUCCUGAGAAAAUAAAUUCCUUCAUGGCUCCAGCAACAAUACUUGGUUGAGUAUCACAAAGUUGCAAAUCAAAAUCACAUAUAUCAUUUGGUCCACAACCAAGUUGAGCUGCAAGCAACUGAUCACAACACACACCCCAAAAAAUAUCAAUCUGGAACGUAGUAAUGAAAAGAGCUAAUACUCUAAUACAAAAAUGACUUAACUACAAUCCAUAUCAAAGGACUAUUCAAACUUUACUUAUUAUACCACAUGAAUAUAAAAAAAAAAAAGCCAUAGCUCUAAAGCCUGCGCAAGGAGCAUCAAUGGCAAAAAACCCAUUUUUUUUUACCUGUAAUAGUAGUGAAUGAUGUUUCUUGUUAUCAGCAGUACUUUCACUAGAUUUCGAUCCACAAUCUUCACCUCUGCUUUCUACGGCAACUUUAUUGAGCUCUGCCUGUAACAUUAUUUUGUGUUAAAGAUAAAAGAGACAAAUAUGCACACAAGUUCCUGCAUCUUCAUAAUACAGAAUAUUCUUUUAGCAGAAAUUAUAUUGCUCAUGACUAGUUAUGCCCCAGCAAUUUCCACUCAUAGGGACAAAAGGAUGGAAGUUUCAUGUAGAAAAACCUGAAACAAAUCUCCACAUCCAGAGUGAAGGAAUCAUCAUGCUUCUGUGUCGUUUAUUACAUUAUUAAAUAUAGAACCCUUCUAAUAACUUGACCUAUGAUAUUCCAGAUAAUUUUACAUAUAUAUAAGGAUAAAUUUCUUUUCACUUUUCAUAAGCACAAAAUCUUUUAGUAUAACAAAUUGUUUAAUGUUUCUAGUGAUUUAAGUAACUGCAUGGGAGUUCUAUACUUCUCCAGCAGCAAACGAAAUCUUUUAAAGGUAGUUUCAUACAACUUCCUAUAAAAUAUACGUCUUUUGGCUACAGUAAUUCCUUUGUUUCUACAUUGAGCCUUAUCUUGUCUGAAAACAAUUAUAACAGUAUUCCAAGUACAUAUAGCUAAUCCUUACAUAAUAUAUUACUACAGUCAGAUACAAACUGCUGAAAUAUACUUUGAAAGAGUAUCGAUCGAAUAUCACCUUAAUUGAUGUUGCCAAAACAGGAACAAGAUGAGUUUGCGUGUUUACUUUAAAUCCGUCAGUCCCCCUGCACCAAAUAUAGUACUAACAAAUAAACACCAUUUACAAAUUCCAAAUUCAAAAAUAAAAAUAGAUUAAACUCAAUAUGAUUCAACAUCCUUACAAAAAAAGUGAAAACAAGAAAAAAAAAAUCAUUAAUAUCUAAAACAAACCUAUCCAAGUGAAUUGCUAGAGUAGGAACACGCAUUAUGGGCUCUUGAAUUCUAACAAGUCGAUGCAAGUAAGACACAGAACCAUCUUUCUUUUCUUUAAUCAUAACUCGACCAGCAACAGUUAAGUCUCGAUCAAACCAUGUGUGCCAUAAACCACCUCCAUAUGUUUGCACUCCAACUUCCAAAUAUCCUCCCUUAACUACCUGAGAUUAUAAAUUUCAAAUCACAUUUUUUACGGGUUUUCAAUCAAUUUCAUUAAAAAAUUUAAUCUUUUAAUCUUUUCAUAUAUAUAUAUAUACCUUGGAAAUAGGCUUUAGUUUAAGAGCUGGACUAUCAGUAUGAGCACCAACUAUAUGAAAUCCAUUUCCUGCUACAUAUCUAUAAACAAACAAAAAAAAUUCUAUAUAAACAGAUUGAAUUCAAGUGAAAAACUUUAAAUAAAACUUAAUCAAAAGGUUUACUUGUUUCCAAUUGCGAAAGCAACAAUUGUAGAGUAAUUUCUAGUAAAAAAGUAUUUCUUUCCAACUUGAAGAUUCCAAUCUUCUUUUUCAGAGAUCUGUUCAAAUCCUGCUGCUUUCAAUCUCUUCUUUGAUUCAUCUAUAUAACACAAACAGCAAAAACGUGCAAAGUACAAUGACCAAAAUGAACAUUUUAUCUGGGCAACUCUGAUUGAUGAUAUCUUUCGUGUUUGUCUGUCAUAAAGAGAAAACCCACUAUAAAUGAAACGUCUGAAGGAGUGAAGGAUAUUUAAACCAAGAAUAUGAAAUCUGACUUACCCAUAUAAUUUGGAUGCAAAGCAUGGGCCAUAUCGGCAGAAACCAGGAAACACUUCUGCACAUACUGCGCUCCUUACAUCCUGUGCAUUGAAACAAUGUAUGAAGACCUAUUGACCUUUCAAAGCUAUUGUAAGGUGUAUCAAAAAAACAUAAACAAAGAAGCUAUUGUGCAAUCUCACUUUGUUUAUCUUUGGAAAGAAAUUAUAUCUUCACUGAGUAAGAAAACAAACAACCCCUAAUAUCCAGAGUAAUUUUUCUUAUAUUAUUUUGGCUAAGUAAAACUACUUUUAUUGAUCCAGAGAAAUAUAGAGCCAAAUGUGAAAUGGUGACACAAUCACUCACCAAAUCAUAAUAAGAAAUAAAAACAGAAAGAUCCAUAGAAAAAACCAAAAAUCAGUGUCCUAAAAGAGGUUCCCAACUGACUAGCAGUUCAUCAAAGAAGUGAUGCUUGCGCUCAGAAGCUCCCCACAACCAAUACCAGAUAACACCCUUGAUUUGCAUGAUCAUAUUCUGAGAGUUUGUUUUCACCUUUUCGAAGAUAAUCUCAUUCCGCGCUUUCCAAAUUGACCAAACUACAGCUGCAGGUAACAGUUUCCACAAGUUCCUCCCCCACAAACCAGUCUUCUCUUGUGGCCAAUCCUUAAUAACAUCCACCAUAGCAUGUCCCUGUAGCAGUAAACUAACCUCUAUCCUUUUACUUCGUGCCAGACAUCAUAAAUAACAGGACAAUCAAAACACAAGUGAUCUAUAGUUUCCAUCCCCGUUAAACACCACACACACUUCACAUCAGCCUACUCCAAGAAACACACCACAUAAAAAUUCUAAUCUUCAAUGGGAUUUUCAGAUUCCAAAUGACCAUAGGUGCAAAAGGUAUCAAUUCUCUCCAUCCCAUCUGAUCAUCUUCAUCAGAAACAACCAGAUCCUGCAAAGCAAUAACAUAUGACAUACUUCCUUCUUAAGAUUUCAAAAUCCUAGAUGGAUGUAGCAGCAGUACACUUUGUUGAGUAUCACAAAGUUGUAACUUAAAAUCACAUUUAUCAUCUGGUCCACAACCAAUCUGAUCUGCAAGCAACUGAGCACUGCCCAUCGGAACCAAAAAAGAGGAAAGAAGAUAAAUCUACAACAUACUAACAAAAGAAGUUGAAAAAAGGUACUAGGCUAAAAUCCAUAUCAAACAACAAAAGGAUUGUUCAUAACCUUACAACAAGAGAUUCAAGCAUGGGAGCCUCAUAACUAAAACAUGCAGUUUUACAGUUUAACAUACAAUUUUGAACAAAUCUCAUAUCUACUGGGCUACUGGCGAAAUAAGAACACACCACUUUAAUUCAAAAAGUAGAUACGAAAUUUAUCUCUACUCUUAUGAUUUGGGUAAUCUUCCGCAAGCAUAUGCACUAUAAUAGAGAGGGUUUCUGCAUUACGUAAGAUGGCUCUCUCCUCCAUUAAACUCAGCCAUUAUAGUGCCUGGUGAAUAUUGCUUCUCACAAGGAAUGCUUGAACCAUGAUAUUGAACGUAUGAUCAUCUGGAGGAAAAUAUCUCAACAUAAAAAUAACUUUUAAAACUAGAUCAGUGGAAAACAGCAUACGCAAAAGCUUAGCAAAAUAAACCAUGAUGAAAAUAUAAAUUCCAUACCUUUCUCCCUGCAUCAGUAAAACUGGCAAAACUAAACAAGCUUGUAUCCCAUGAAGGGGCCACAUUUGUGAACGUUGAAGAUUUUGUAAAUGCAGGAGUCUUGUCCAAUACAAGAAAAAUAUACACACUCAUUAUAUAGUUUAAUUAUUCAGUAUCUUAGUGAGUUAGUGUUUACUUUAAAGGCAAACUCAGUACAAGUAUUCAUUGCCCAAAUAUGGAAUCACAGCCUUAACUUAUUACUUCAAAAAGUAGUUACGAAGUAUAUCUAUAUUCUCAUUAUUUGGGUCAUCUGCUGCAAGCAUAUCCACUAUAUUGGAGAUGGUUUCUGCAUGACGUAAGAUACCUCUCUCGGCCAUUGUAGUCAAAAACUGCACUCCCUUGCUACUAUCAUUUGCUUUGAGGAAUGCUUGAAGCAUGACAUUGAAUGUAUGAUCAUCUGGAGGGAUGCGUUUCUGCUCCAUCUCUGCAAACAAAUUUUCAGCAUCAUUCAGCCUCCCAUUUUUGCAAAAGCCAUGGAUCAUCGUAGUGUAUAUCCUAGCAGUAAGCUGCAAGUCUUUAGUAGGUAGGCUGUAAAAUAGUUCCUUUGCCUCAUUAAGUUUCCCUGCUUUGCACAUAUUGUAAAUGACGAUAUCGUAAAUCACACCAUCGGGUUUUAAUCUGUUUUUUUCUAUCAUACAAAAUAAUUCCAUAGCUUCGGAAAAGCAACCAUUGUCAAACAACCCAUUGAUUAAAGCUGUAUAAGUGACAAUAUUUGGAUUCUGCCCAUGACCUUGCAUAUCUUUGAAAAGCUCUUGUGCAGUAGAAAGUCUCCCAACCUUGCAUAGCCCAUCAAUAAGGGUAGUGUACGUGACAGUGUCAGGUUUCAACCCAUUGCAAUUCAUAUCUUCCAAAAGUUGCAGUGCAUCAUCCAAUCUCUUAGCCUUGCAGUAACCAUUUAUCAAAAUGUUAUAACUGAAAACAUCAGGUUCAUGACCCUUAGCCACCAUGGAAUCAAAAACUCUCUUCGCCCUUUCCAUUUUUCCUUGCAGACAGUAUCCAUCCAUGAGUACAUUGUAAGUGACAAUAUCGGGGUGUGUGCCUUUAGUAACCAUUGUACCGAAUAGUUCCUGUGCAUGUUCUAGCAUCCCUUUCUUGCAAAUGGCAUCGAUUAAUGUAUUAUAUGCGUGUGCAUCUGGCAUCACCCCUUGGCUGAUCAUAUCCUUGAAUAACUUAAUCGCUUUAUUCAACUGAUCGGAUAUGCAUAGACCAUAAAUCAAAGAGUUAUAUGUGAUAACAUUUGGUUUUACACCACUUUGUCGCAUUAACUCCAACAACUUGAAUGCUUCAUCGGUCUUGUUAUCUUUGCAAAGAGCAUCAACCAAAAUGUUGAAUGUUAUCACAUUUGGCAUGAUUCUCUUUUCCAUCAUCUCUUUUAACAAACGUAGGGCUGAAGUUACCUGAUCAAUGCGACAUAGUCCAUGAAUCAACAUGCUGUAGGUAACGACAUCCGGUACAAAUCUCUUGCCAUCAAUCAUUUCUUGGAAAAGACUUAAAGCUUUGUGAACCUGAUCUUCCUUGCAGAGACCGUCAAUAAUCAUACUAUACAUGUUAACAUUAAUGCUAAUCUGCCUCUUCUCCAUUAAUCUCAACAAUGUAAGGGCAGCAAUGGAGUCAUUAGCUUUGCAAAGGCCGUUAAUGACAACUCCAUAAGUUACAUGAUUACAUUGACACUGAUUGUCCACCAUUUUUUGAAAGAGUUUCAAAGCUUGUAUCUUUUUUCCAUGGAGAAAGAGACCAUUGAGAAGAGUAGUGAAAGUAACAACAUUUGGGUGAAACCCAUGCCUCAGAAUUUUGGCAAAUACAGCAAAACCCAUAUCCACACAACCCAAAGCACAAAGACAAUUGAUCAUAAUGGUAAAAGUAACAACAUCUGGUUGAAUUCCAAUUGAAUCCAUGGUUUUGAUUAAAGAAAACACUUUGUUAUAAUGUUUCAUUUUGGUAAUAGCUCCUAACAAUUGAGUGAAAGGGAAAAUGGAAGGUAUUGGUUUCGUUCGAAUCAAACGAUUGAACAAACCCAAAGCUUCAUCAAUACCAAGAUCACCAGAUUUACAUCUAUCUCUCACUAAUUUCUCCAAACAAGAAGAUGAAGAUGAAGAUGAUGAUGUUGUAGUAGUAUUAAUAGUGGGGUUUUGUUGGUUUGUAGCGAUGGAACGAUAACAAAGUAGAAAAACAGAACAACAAGAAGAAGAAGAAGAAGAAGAAGAAAGAGAAGAAAGCGUGGCACAACUAACCUUUCUUAACAUCGCCGUAUGUAGAGCUUGAAGAUGAAAGAACACAAGUUACGCCCAAGUGCUUGGUUUCAGCCCAAGUGCUUGGUAUAUUCUUAUUAAAAAUAAUUUACACCCAAAAGCUCUCGUACGUUAAGAGCCACUUGUAAACUGAAAUUUUAAUUUUUGAUUAUAUAAAAGAUUUUUAUUUACCCGUCUCUUUUUUCAAUUUUAAUCUUAUUCAUUCUAUUCAUUCAUAUACGAUAUACCCUUUCAAUUUUAAUCUUAUUCAUAUACGAUAUACCCUCACCAAUACUCUGUUAUCUUCAUCUAUUUUUAUUUUUUUUUUUUGUAAUUUAAUGAUUGAUUGAUCUAAUCGUAACAUUUCUAUGUCCCAUUCAUUUGAUUUCCAAUGAAGGAAUUAUAUAAUAAUUUUUUUUUUAACAAAGCAAAACACUUGAGAAUGCAAAAAUUAUGAGUAGGCAUGAAUUACUCAAGUACUUAUAAUUGUGUUUUAAUGAAAAGAUAAAAAUAACAAAUUUUAUGAUCGAACUAUUGACAUGAAUUAUAAUGUUAAUCCAUUUUAAUUGGUUAAUUUUAGCAAUUUUUUCAAUGAAAUGAGAGUAAGGUUUUUUUUAGUAAUUAAAGAGAAAGAAAAGUUGGAGUUUGAUGGAGGUGAAGAAGAAAGGAAAAGAAAGAGAUCGGGUGGUACUUAACAAUUUGGGUGUGCUAAUGAGAUUGUAAUUUUGGGUGGACUGCUCAAAAGUUUUGGGAUAGCUCAUAGUAAACAGUCGGGGUGGCAAUAUGAUUUCCCUUUUUUAAUUAGUUUAUAAAAUGUAGAUUUUGAUAUAAGUAUAAACCAGUUGGCAUCUUAAUAAAAGGGACAUUUUAACAUGGUAGAUUAAAACAGCAACUUGAAUAGCUACCAGAUCCCAUCAUAGUUUUGUCAUUCAUUGUAUAUUUGAAACAAUUUACCGUCAGAACAAAAAUGUACCAUCUUAAUAAACAUUGUCUGACAAAUAACAAGUGAUGGUGAACAUUGCUUAAAUGUGCAAGGUAGCAAAACAGAAUAACAGAUCCUUAAAUGUCUACAGUUAUCUCCGUAUCAGAUGGUGAACAUUGCUUAAAUGU